ACGAACGCUGGCGGCGUGCUUAACACAUGCCAGUCGCACGGAAAGGCCCUGCUUUUGUGGGGUGCUCGAGUGGCGAACGGGUGAGUAACACGUGAGUAACCUGCCCUUGACUUUGGGAUAACUUCAGGAAACUGGGGCUAAUACCGGAUAGGAGCUCCUGCUGCAUGGUGGGGGUUGGAAAGUUUCGGCGGUUGGGGAUGGACUCGCGGCUUAUCAGCUUGUUGGUGGGGUAGUGGCUUACCAAGGCUUUGACGGGUAGCCGGCCUGAGAGGGUGACCGGCCAAAUUGGGACUGAGAUACGGCCCAGACUCCUACGGGAGGCAGCAGUGGGGAAUAUUGCACAAUGGGCGGAAGCCUGAUGCAGCAACGCCGCGUGCGGGAUGACGGCCUUCGGGUUGUAAACCGCUUUCGCCUGUGACGAAGCGUGAGUGACGGUAAUGGGUAAAGAAGCACCGGCUAACUACGUG
rnacentral:rRNA from 1 species